rnacentral:tRNA from 1 species
GGGUCGUUAGCUCGGUGGGUAGAGCAGGUGACGUUUAAUCAAUUGGUCGCAGGUUCGAAUCCUGCACGACCCA